CAGGUUAGUGUCCGAUGGUUGGUCGCUUCAUUUGGGUUGGAGAUUGUUUAUGUUCGAAUCAUAAUAACCUGA